rnacentral:rRNA from 1 species
GACGAACGCUGGCGGCGUGCUUAACACAUGCAAGUCGAACGGAAAGGCCCUGCUUGCAGGGUACUCGAGUGGCGAACGGGUGAGUAACACGUGGGUGAUCUGCCCUGCACUUCGGGAUAAGCUUGGGAAACUGGGUCUAAUACCGGAUAGGAGCCAUCUUUAGUGUGGUGGUUGGAAAGUUUUUUCGGUGUAGGAUGAGCUCGCGGCCUAUCAGCUUGUUGGUGGGGUAAUGGCCUACCAAGGCGGCGACGGGUAGCCGGCCUGAGAGGGUGUACGGCCACAAUGGGAAUGAGAUACGGCCCAGGCUCCUACGGGAGGCAGCAGUGGGGAAUAUUGCACAAUGGGCGCAAGCCUGAUGCAGCGACGCCGCGUGGGGGGUGAAGGCCUUAGGGUUGUAAACUCCUUUCGCUAGGGACGAGGCUUUGUUGUGACGGUACCUAGAUAAGAAGCACCGGCUAACUACGUG